AUCUACGGCCAUACCGCCCUGAAUGCGCCGGAUCUUGUCUGAUCUCGGAAGCUAAGCAGGGUCGGGCCUGGUUAGUACUUGGAUGGGAGAAACGUGCUCAGCGAGAGA
rnacentral:rRNA from 1 species